rnacentral:rRNA from 1 species
GUACACACCGCCCGUCGCUGCCCGGAACUGAGCCAUUUCGAGAAAAAUGGGGACUGAUUGCUUGUGAGCACGCAAGUGCUUCUCGCAGUCGGAAACCAUCUUGAUCGGUAUGGCUUGAACCGGGCAAAAGUCGUAACAAGGUUUCCGUAGGUGAACCUGCAGAAGGAUCA